GCCCAGUUCUGGUGUUGUGAACUAACCCAGUGACACCUUAGGGGUGGUCCCAGAAAGGAUCACCAGGUCGUGGGGGCCGUGCCACCUCACCCCUCACGCCAGGGGACAGCCAGUGACCCUGUGUGGAAACACCAGGCGGUGCUGAAGGAGAGCAGGGAAAUGCCAAUUUGGGGUCCUGCAUGGUCUCUGUCGUUUCCUGUUAAAGAUAAAACAGGUGUUGAAGGUAACAGAAGUGGAAUCAGUUAA
rnacentral:lncRNA from 1 species